rnacentral:lncRNA from 1 species
GGAGUAGGGGUGGGGAGAAGAGCGUCCCGGGAAGCUGAACGCGUGCCGCGCGGCCCUCACGGUGCUUAGGCUGGGUGCAACCUAGAACGGAGGUUCCUUUCGUACCGUACAUCCAGGUUUGCACAGCGCGCUUAUGUCCCUCCUCCAAUCUGAUCUUGCACCAGCUCUGCAGUAGUUUUUCUUAUUAUCCUCAUUUUACGGAGGAGAGGGAGCUGUGGCUUAGAGAAGUUAAGAGACGUGUCCAAAUUCAUACAACCUGUUGGGCACCUCUUUAUCCCGAACGCUGUUCUAGGGGAUAGGGUUAGUGAACAAAAAACGCAAAAGCCCCUGACCGCCUGGGCCUUACAUCUAUUAGGAGGAGGAAGACAGAUAAACUAAGGCUCGUGCAAAGGAGAAAAAUAAAGCAAGGUGACUUUCUGCAGACUUCGGACUCACCAGUGGUGUUUCAUUCUAUUUAAUGUCAUCCUAUUUCAUGCCUUGCUUUUUGGGACUGACUUUGUGGAGGAAUACUUUCUGCAUUCUUUGCCUUAUAUAGAUGUGAAAGUUCUUGAAAUUAAGAAUAAGGCAAGAAAAUUGAACAUCGAACCCCU